rnacentral:lncRNA from 1 species
UUCUUGGGUGUAACUUUUUCAGAAACAUAAAGCAACUCGUACAUUUUCAGAAAACAAACCGCUUAUGAACUCACCAGCUUUAUGUUGAUUUUCAAACUGCUUGUAUUCUCAGGUCCGUAUUAGACAGGUACCCGAUGAUUCCUUUUGGCGAAGUCGGAGUGCGUAGAAGACUCGUCUAACUUUUGUUCAUAUAUACUAUGUAUCACACUUGUACAACUUUACUUUUGAAACAAAUGUAAACUUUUAUAUAUGUAAUGUAAUGGUUGUUUACUUUACUUACUAUGUGCAUUGCAUUUGAUACUCAACGUGGAGUCAACCCCGGAAAUGUUUCCGCUUCGGUUUUCGGGGUGUGACAAAUUGGUAUCAGAACCCUUGUUUAUAGUGAAUAAAGCAUACCAAACCUUACAUGGUAUAAGACUAUAAACAUUAAAGGGCCUAAGUGCUCUGAACUAAAAGUAUCCUUCAAAAUAUAAGUACUUUCAAAAGUAUACAAGUAUAUCGAACCGUCGAGAUCCGUAACUACGAGUAGAACAAAACAUAAGUAAAUGGGUGUUUUAUGUUGCGGUUAAACCUGGGCAGUUAUGUAGUCGUGUCUAGGAUCAAUAUAGCUUGGCCAACUAUAUUCAUUCGAGACACGGCCAACAUGUGCUUGGGAGUGACUGUGGUAUGCGGCAUGCCUAAAACUUACCCUAAUACCACAAGCAUCGAGCCGGUGUCGUAGCGAAUCAUGAAAUACUAUGGGAGUAUUUCUCGAGCCAAUCCUUUGUAGGAAGCCUCGUUCAUGCAUUGUUCCUUGAUCAUUCCUUUAGCGAUAAUUUACCUGCUUUGAUAACUCUUUCCUGCUUUAUCGCUUAUUCGGAAUAUAUAUCUGUCAUAUCUCUUGAUUCAGUUCAGAGGACUUAUCAUCCUCUCUUUCUUGAUCUUAUUAGAUGAAGAUGCCUCCAAGAAAGAGACCCAACUCCAGGACCAACAACCCUCUGCCACCACCUCCUCCCCAAAUUGAUCCUGUAGUAUUCCAGGCAGCUGUUACUGCCGCGGUAGCAGCUGCCAUGUCUCAACGGAACUCUGGUGGUUCCGAUGGUUUGGGAGGUGGUACCCAAACCUAAAACCAAGAAAGCAGUCAGGGACACCGAAAAGAGGGUUCCUAUAAAGAUUUCAUGAACGCGAAACCCACGUCCUUUGAUGGCACUGGAGGUGUCAUUUCCCUCACCCGAUGGUUCGAGAAGACCGAAUCCAUCUUUGAAAUUUGUGCCUGUUCAAAAUCUGAUAUGGUGAAGUUCGCCGCCAGCACCUUCAUCGACAAAGCCCUGACUUAGUGGAACGACCGAGGCAAAUCCCUGACUUUACCAUUAGCCAACGCCAUGGGUUGGGAAGCCAUGAAGGAACUUCUACUGGCUAAGUACUGCCCUCGGGGCGAAAUGCAGAAAUUAGAACACGAACUCUAGAACCUGAAGAUGAAAGGUUCCGAUAUUGUCGCUUACACUUCUAGGUUUGAUGACUUGGCACUACUCCGCCCGAAAAUGGUUACCCCGGAGAGUAAGAAGAUAGAGAGAUUCAUCUGGGGACUGACCCAACCAACAAAAGGAAACGUUUUAGCUGCGAGGCCGGAUGCAUACGAUAGCGCCAAAUGCUUAGCACGAACCUUAAUCGAUCACAGUGAUGACCUUGAGGAAGCAGCUACCACUCCUGAGCCGACAGAGAGGAGUGGCGAGAAAAGGAAAACUGGGAAGAAGAAGGAAAGUCAGACAUCACAAGAGUCUUCAAAGAGACAACAAACGGUUGCAGUUUACGCUGCCACUUCCCCUGCAGUUGUUUCUGUUGUUGGAUCCUCAGCUCGAAAACCUACCAGUAGGUAUGCUGGAACCCUCCCUAGUUGUGACAAGUGCAACUAUCAUCACCUCACUUCCAGCCCAUGUCUAGAGGUGUUUUGCAACUGUUGUGGCAAAAAGGGUCACACGGCGAAAAAACUAUAAAACACCAACUCAAUCAACCAGUCAAGCUUCCGGAGCGGGCAUUGGUCAAGCCUGCUAUGGUUGUGGAGAAGUUGGACAUUACAAGCGAAACUCCCCCAGGCGGUAACAUCUGGCAACACCGGAAGAGUUCUAGCGAUAGGACGAGAGGAGACAGCUACAGAUCCCACCGUUGCCACAUGUAUAUUUCCCCUCGAUGAAUCUUAUGCCUGUGAUUCUUUUCGAUCCUAGUGUUGAAAGAAAUUUGCUAACCAUCCAUUCAAGCAUCUUUCCAAACUCAGCCCUUUGUUAGUAAUCGAAAACGUAUACCGUCGAGAUGGCUAACAAGUGAGAAGGAGAACGCUAACGUCAUAUCCAUAGAUUGUAUCCUCAAUCCGAACAAUUAUUCUUUUCCAUUCGAUCUAAUGGCAAACUUUUCAUGAAAUGCUUUGAUGCCAUCUUUGGCAUGUAAUGACCGAGCCUCAUUCAUGAUGUUAUUCUUGGUUUCGAGAAAGCCAUCCGUCUUAAUCUUCCUCCGACUCGACUCUCAUGAUCUUCGUGCAUCAAAGCUUAAAAAAUUUCCCCAUGCAUUCCUCGUCCGUGUGCUCAUCGGGAAACGGGAAGUCUAUAACUCUUUCCCCGAUGCCUUUCCCAAAGAUUUCCCAAGAAUUCUUUCCGAACGUCUAGUCAAGUCUCGUAUCGACCUAAUCCCAGGAAUUACCUCGUAGCCAAACCUUAGUGAGGAUGAUGUGUCCGAGACAGCGACCAGGGCUUGAUAUGAUCACUACGAGAUAGUAGUGGUGCCCUUCGAUCAAACCGUUUUCCCUAGUCAUUUAGAUAAGCAAAGCAGUCAUACCUGUGGACCUUUCCAAAAACUAAGGCGAUAAAGAAUUAGUCGGCACCGGAGAUACCCAUAGAAUCCUGUCAAUUCUUGGGUCCCGCCGGCUAUUAUCGCAGACCCACUUAGAAAUUUCCUUUAGAACCAUCAGACCCUUAGCUACUCUGCCACAUGAAGAUGUACCUUCUUGUUGGAAGUUGUGUCUUGUUGAAGGCCUUAUCCCAAAAAAGCAAGAUAUACUUUGAGAAACGCGAAAUACUUCCCCCGUGAUGCAUCGAACCUUUCGAAAAUCCCCACCAGAACUGGAACCGUGAACUACAGACUUCGACUAUCUCAAGGACAUGGUAGUAUUAUCCAUCUUGUCUUUUCUGCCUCGAAACGUUAGAAGCGCCAUCCCAACGAAACCUUAGCAAUUCCUUUGAUGAGACCGAAAUCAACAGAUGACCGAACCUCCAUGGAAGAAGCAAUUGAGAUCAUGGAUUGAGAGGUUAAACGUACGAAACAAAGCCGCAUCCCGGUAGUGAGGGUUCGCUGGAAUGUCAAGCGGAGACCCGAUUCCACUUAGGAGCGUGAAGACCCAAAGCAGUAGAUUCAUCCUCAUCUCUCUUUUCAUUUCAUGAUCUGUAUCUUAAUCUUUGAAUUUCGGGAUGAAAUUCCCUCUAACGGGGGGAAAUUGUAACAACCCGAAGUUGUCCAUCGCCGAAACCCAUUUCGUCCGUAAAACACGUCUUUAGCGAUUCGUUUCGAUUUCGUUUUCGGGCUAAAUUAUCUAAAUUUAUAUGUUUAUUUUAAUCUCAUGAGUNNNNNNNNNNNNNNNNNNNNNNNNNNNNNNNNNNNNNNNNNNNNNNNNNNNNNNNNNNNNNNNNNNNNNNNNNNNNNNNNNNNNNNNNNNNNNNNNNNNNGUACACUUAGGAAGUGUUAGAAUGCUCAAAACCCAUCAGAACCUUAAUCGAUCACAGUGAUGACCUUGAAGAAGCAGCUACCACUCCUGAGCUGACGGAGAGGAGUGGCGAGAAAAGGAAAAUUGGGAAGAAGAAGGAAACUCAUACAUCACAAGAGUCUUCGAAGAGGCAACAAACGGUGGCAGUUUACGCUGCCACUUCCCCUGCAGUUGUUUCUGUUGUUGGAUCCUCAGCUCGAAAACCUACCAGUAGGUAUGUUGGAACCCUCCGUAGUUGUGACAAGUGCAACUAUCAUCACCUCACUUCCAGCCCAUGUCUAGAGGUGUUUUGCAACAGUUGUGGCAAAAAGGGUCACACGGUGAAAAAACUGUAAAACACCAACUCAAUCAACCAGUCAAGCUUCCGGAGCAGGCAUUGGUCAGGCCUGCUAUGGUUGUGGAGAAGUCGGACAUUACAAGCGAAACUGCCUCCAGGCAGUAACAUCUGGCAACACCGGAAGAGUUCUUGCGAUAGGGCGAGAGGAGACAACUACCGAUCCCACCGUUGCCACAUGUAUAUUUCCCCUCGAUGAAUCUUAUGCCUGUGAUUCUUUUCAAUUCUAGUGCUGAAAGAAAUUUGCUAACCAUCCAUUCAAGCAUCUUUCCAAACUCAGUCCUUUGUUAGUAAUCGAAAACAUAUACCGUCGAGAUGGUUAACAAGUGAGAAGGAGAACGCUAACGUCAUAUCCAUAGAUUGUAUCCUCAAUCCGGACAAUUAUUCUUUUCCAUUCGAUCUAAUUGCAAACUUUUCAUGAAAUGCUUUGAUGCCAUCUUUGGCAUGUAAUGACCGAGCUUCAUUCAUGCUGUUAUUCUUGGUUUCGAGAAAGCCAUCCGUCUUAAUCUUCCUCCGACCCGACUCUCAUAAUCUUCGUGCAUCAAAGCUUAAAAAUUUUCCCUAUGUAUUCCUCGUCCGUGUGAUCAUCGGGAAACGGGAAGUCUAUAACUCUUUCCCCAAUGCCUUUCCCGAAGAUUUCCCGAGAAUUAUUUCCGAACGUCUAGUCAAGUCUCUUAUCGACCUAAUCACUGGAAUUACCUCAUAGCCAAACCUCAGUGAGGAUGAUGUGUCCGAGAUAGCGACCAGGGCUUGAUAUGAUCACUACGUGAUAGUAGUGGUGCCUUUCGAUCAAACCAUUUUCCCUAGUCAUGUAGAUAAGCAAAGCAGUCAUACCUGUGGACCUUUCCAAAAACUAAGGCGAAAAAGAAUUAGUCGGUACCGUGGAUACCCAUUGAAACCUGUCAAUUCUUGGGUCUCGUCGGCUAUUAUCGCAGACCCACCUAGAAAUUUCCUUUAGAACCAUCAGACCCUCAGCUACUCUGCCACAUGAAGAUGUACCUUCUUGUUGGAACUUGUGUCUUGUUGAAGGCCUUAUCCCAGAAAAGCAAGAUAUACUUUGAGAAACGCGAAAUACUUCCCCCGUGAUGCAUCGAACCUUUCGAAAAUCACCUCCAGAUUCGGAACCAUGAACUACAGACUUCGAUUAUCUCAAGGACAUGGUAGUAUUAUCCAUCUUGUCUUUUCUGCCUCGAAACGUUAGAAGCGCCUGCCCAACAAAACCUUAGCAAUUCCUUUGAUGAGACCGAAAUCAACGAAAGACUGAACCUCCAUGGAAGAACCAAUUGAGAUCAUGGAUUGAGAGGUUAAAGGUACGAAACAAAGCCGCAUCCCGGUAGUGAGGGUUCGCUGGAAUGUCAAGUGGAGACCCGAUUCCACUUAGGAGCGUGAAGACCCGAAGCAGUAGAUUCAUCCUAAUCUCUCUUUCCAUUUCAUAAUCUGUAUCUUAAUCUUUGAAUUUCGGGACGAAAUUCCCUCUAACGGGGGGAAAUUGUAACAACCCGAAGUUGUCCAUCGCCGAAACCCAUUUCGUCCGUAAAACACGUGUAACACCGAAAAUUUCAAACAAUUUUUCAUUUAAAAUAGUCGUUUAAUUCUUAGAAACACUUGCUUAAAAUCUCAUUCAUAAUCGAAUUACAAAACAUGACUCCAUUUUCACUUUUAUAGGAAACCAGGAUCCUCAAAACAUGGCACUUUCUCUGGUGUGUAUAAUCAAGCCGGUGCCGUCCCGUGAUCCUGAAAGAAACCUGCAACACAUACAUAAAAUAAAACACUGUAAGCACGAAGCUUAGUGAGUUCCCCAAAAUAUCAUACAUAACACAUAUUAGCCACUCGAGGCUAUAACUCUGUGGGUCCAUGGACCCUGCUCUGUGAACCCUCUGGUUCUAACUCUGUGAACCUUCUGGUUCUAACUCUAGGAACCCUCCGGUUCCAACUCUGAAAACAUGCGCAGCAUAAAUCACAUAGAAAUAAUGCAGUACAACACAUAACAUACAUAGCAUACAAAUACUCUAUUACAUAACUCUGGUUACCUACUCAAGGUAAAGUAUAGUGAGAAGACUCACCUGACAAGCAGAAAGCAGAUAUCCCCACACUUGAAUCUCGAACUCGCCACCGCCUAACACGUAAGGCAUAUACUAUCAUGAAUAUAACUCUCAAGACGAGAAUCAACCCUCUCAUGGCACCCUCUUAAGGGUAAAAGACUAUUUUACCCCUCUCUUGGCCCAAAGGCCACAUCGCUGACCAAGCCCUAAAAGUCAACGGUCAACUCAUGGUCAAAAUCAAAGUCCUCAGCCAAAGUCAACCCUCCGGGUUGACCCUGCUCGCCGAGUCAACCCGUCGACUUGUCGAGUUCCCAUGCUCAGAACUUCCCCAGUCUGCUACUCAACUCGCUGAGUCACCCCGAGACUCGCCGAGUCCCACAACUCUGAGUCCACUCGCACACAACUCACCGAGUCAUCCCUUGACUCGCCGAUUCUCGACUCAACCAGAGAAUAUUGGGACUCUUCGACAAGACUUGCCGAGUCCAAGAACAGACUCGCCGAGUCUAAGGCUAUCUUCAACCUACUCGCCGAGUUGUUCAUACAACUCGCCGAGUUCCAGGCCAUCUUCAUCCAACUCGCCGAGUUGUUCUUCCAACUCGUCGAGUUCCAGCUUAUCUUCAAGCAACUCGUCGAGUCCACCCAUGUGACUCGCCGAGUACCACCGGUCUGAAUCCAUACAGAAGCAUUCCAGGCCAUGCAAUUGAUCCAAAACAUAGAUCUAGCCUCCUACAACCCAUCCAUCACGUAAAGUGGCAAACUUUACGUGAAUCCAAAGAGAUCUAUGCAUUUUCACUCUAGGGUUUGGGUUUGGGACAAAAUAGCUCCAUCAACCACUCACAAACAGGGACUUUCAUGCAUUCCAACCCUUCUCCAUUCCAGAUCUGAGGUAGCAACCUCAGAUCUAACCUCUAGACUCCAAUUACAUCCAUAGACAAGUUCCCACAAACCCCAAAAUGAAGAAACAACAUAACAACAGCCCAAGAACGAGAUAUUACCUCCAAGGAACGCCCCAACUGCAAUGAAACUCGAAUCCAAGCAAAGCCCCUUGCUCCAAACCUUCAAACUCCCAAAAUUCUUCAACAACCACCUCCUUCAAGCUCCCAAAUGAGAUAUGAUCUCUCACACACGAAGGCUAAAGGUUUCUGGACUUGAGGAUGAAUAAAGAGACUGAGAGUGGGCUGUUAUGUUCUUUAUAGAGGGCUCAACCCUGGGAAUUAGGGUUUUCUCCACUCAGCGCCUACUCGCCGAGUCCUCCUUACUGACUCGCCGAGUCGGCUACUUAACACGCGACCCAGUCGCGACUCUACUCGCCGAGUCCACCCAUGGACUCGCCGAGUNCAACUUACUCUUUUAGCCCUUCUACUCUACUCUUGAUAUUUCGGGAUGUGACAAUUCUCCCCCACUUAAAUUAGGCUUCGUCCUCGAAGCCUACAGCAACUCAACUCCAAAAAUACUCCUACAAUGUGCCACCUGGCCUUUAUCGGACCAGGUCCCACAAGGCAUACCCAUCGAAACUCGAACACACUUUCCCUUCCCUUAUAGUGUCCUGACCACCGUCUCGAACCGGGCACCGGCUGUACCCUCUGAGAAUCACACUCAACAAUCAAGAAUUACCCAUGAAGCAUCACUGCCAGACAUCUCAACAAUCCCUCGACCCAUAAGGCUAGAAAGCCAUGAACCAUCGGAUCCCCAAUCCGAAUCCCACUCUAUCCAUUCCGUGAUGACGGAAAGACCGAUUCUCAAUCUCAGAGCAACUACCACGAGUUCUCCUCUUGCAAUCGCAUACGCAUGUUGAACUUGCUCCAGCACCCUCAGGUUAGGAAAACCCGAUACACUGAUGAUAUCCUCCAACAUCCCCCGGGGUGAACCACUAGUACAUAUCCAAUACCCUGAUCAGAAACAAGCUGGGAGUCCCAGACUCCCUCCCUGCAUCCAUCCUGAGACUCUUGGCUCUACACCCGCGGAAUCGCUUCUGCGUCCUCAGCAGACAUCCCAUCAUGAUGUCAUUCCAUACCACUGUCACAGACACAGUGCUCAACCACCAUACUCCAAAUCAUCCAUUCUCACUACUACUUUCACUNCAACACUUUCCCCCCCCCCCCCUCCCCGGGGUUACAUACCUUUCUCUUCCCUUACCUAGGGAAAUCCACUUGCCAACCUUGCCACUACUCCAUGUAUCGCACAUGCUCUGGAUCUGCUCACAAGGACUCUCGGGUCCAUGCGCUACCUCUCCCCAGCACAUGAGGGUCCGACCCCCUCCUCCCAUACAACAGCUCAAAGGGUGGCAUACCAAUGCACGAAUGAUGGCUGUUGAUAUAGGAUAACUCAACCAAGGAUAAAUACGUGCUGCAACUCCCUCCGAAAUCUAAUACACAUGCCCGAAGCAUGUCUUCGAGUGUCUGAAUCGUUCGCUCGCUCUAAAGUGUCCUCAGACAUCAUCAUGAUAAGCUUUAGCUCAUUUCUCAUAUCCCUCUUCGAGACUGAGCACCAGGUCAGCUUUUGACUCCACAGCUGAGCCUCCAAAGGUCACCCAUAACAUGAUCCAAAUAUCCCACUAACUUCCUCCCCGUGACCACUAUCCCGACCCAGUGACACGCAAGUCACGAAAUUCUCUUUUCCUCAUGCGAGAAAAAUACAAUCCAACCGAAGAUCGUCUUAACUCUGAUCUUUGGUUUCUGCUGCGCAUAUCCCUUGCGCAUCUCGCUGCAUCUCUCGACAGAUACGGAGACCCCAGUCUCGCCCCCGGUUCAACACCCAAGCUCCAAAACUCAAUACUAGGGCUACUCAAGCCCAAAACUCUUCCACAUCAUACACUGAUCGGAGAACAUUCCAUCAUCACAUUCUCUUGCCAUCUAGUGAGUACUACGGCUCCCCGCAGUAUCACAACACCCUCUGACUAGUGAGUACUACGGCUCCCCGCAGUAUCACAACACCCUCUGACUAGUGAGUACUACGGCUCCCCGCAGUAUCACAACACCCUCUGACUAGUGAGUACUACGGCUCCCCGCAGUAUCACAACACCCUCUGACUAGUGAGUACUACGGCUCCCCGCAGUAUCACAACACCCUCUGACUAGUGAGUACUACGGCUCCCCGCAGUAUCACAACACCCUCUGACUAGUGAGUACUACGGCUCCCCGCAGUAUCACAACACCCUCUGACUAGUGAGUACUACGGCUCCCCGCAGUAUCACAACACCCUCUGACUAGUGAGUACUACGGCUCCCCGCAGUAUCACAACACCCUCUGACUCCUGAGUACUACGGCUCCCUACAGUAUCACAACACCCUCUGACCCCACUAGCUAAUGCUCCGCAGACUAUCAUAGGCAGCUACCCAUACUCGGCUCGAAUAUGCAUCACAGACUCUGAAGACAAUCGACAUAUCAAAUGCCCACCUUUGCGAAGAUCCACUUCCUUAAAUAAUCUCCCUGGAUGCCCAUACUCGAAGGGCUCCCACUAGAUCCAUAGAUACCUAAUAUACCACAUGUAACCCCGAAAUAAAGAUAUCAUACCCGGAUACCUAGGAAUAUCCCAACAAGAUCCUGCCACAACCACUGAUCUCCUGCCCCCAAGCAUCAUAUAGAUACAAUAAUACAUUUUCCCCAAAAUGCAACUUCGAUGUAUCCAAUUUCUCAAUUGGAAUACGAGAAAACGCUAGCGCUACGAAAUACUCUGAUAAUUCUUCGAAACCCUUUUUCCCACCGCUCAAAAUCAAAGCAAGGAUACGCAUACCGACCCGGGAGUUGGCUGCCCAAUCAUUCUCUAACAACACUGACCACUACCAGGUUCCUGACCAUUAAACACCUGCCGUGGAGACAUUCAUCCUUCUCAAACAAGUACUUCCGCAUUAACUCACUCUGACCCCCUUCCCUCGAUCACCGACAUCUCUGGUCUCAUGAUUUCUUACCGCAGAUCUCUAUACUCCACUUAUAACUGCUCUUGACAAAUCUCUGCUUUCUUACAUACGGUACCCGGUUCUCCCCCACUCAGGGUUCGAACCAUCACCAAUUAGCACACAACCAACCCACAACUAUUUUCACCAGCAAAAUCACACCUGCCCCUGGAAAGUGCUACACAACGCCCGAUAAUCCCCUUUAAGGAAAUCAAUCGACCUCAUAUACUCUGAACCUCUGAUGGACUCCUCAAGAACUUCUCAACACGACUGCCCCUAGUCGUUCCAAAUAUCGUACCAAUCUAGCACCAAUCAACUCAACUGCUCAAUAACAUCCCUGGCUCAUAGACUGAACCACAAAAUCAUCGUACCCCUCACCUCAACUCAUCAACCAACGCUCCAACACCGGGUUCAUCCCAAGGACAGAGACCCACUCCCAUACUUAAUACCCAACAUAGAUAAAAACCCUCUGCACUGCUAAACUCGACUGAACUCCCCACUGAUACCACUACAAUACAUCCUACUAUACUCAAAUAGGUGUAAUGUAGUCCUUGACUAUCUCAGUCCCAACUGACUAUCUGAUCAUGAUAAAUCACUGCCUCGCGGCACACAUGCUACCUGAUACUCUGGUGGGAAAUCAUCAUCAAUGAUGACCUGCAGGGUUUACCCCCAAACCCAAAACUUAAACAUCAUGCUUCUCAUAUUUUGCACACGAACAUAAUCAGUACCACCCAGAUCAUAGAAGGUGACAUCUCCUUUAUCGACUGAUCGCUCAACUCAGAUCGAAAUUCUCCCUUCUCACUGACUCCUUACUAAAAUACUCUGAGAGGCUCUCGAUCUCCCUCUCAAGGGACGCCUCUUCGAACUCAAACAUGACCGGAUAGCCGGAGAACCACAAGCAUCAUUCCCUACGAACCAUGGUACUCAUUCCAUGACAUCUCUUCUCAAUAUGCUCCGGCGUACGGUACUCGAACCGUAACAUCACUCCUUAGUCCGCUCCGAUGUAUGGUACCCGAACCAUAACACCACUUAUCAAUCCGCUCUAAUGUAUGGUACCCGAACCAUAACAUCACUCCUCAAUCCGCUCCGAUGUAUGGUACUCGAACCAUAACAUCACUCCUCAAUCCGCUCCGAUGUAUGGUACUCGAACCAUAACAUCACUCCUCAAUCCGCUCCGAUGUAUGGUACUCGAACCAUAACAUCACUCCUCAAUCCGCUCCGAUGUAUGGUACUCGAACCAUAACAUCACUCCUCAAUCCGCUCCGAUGUAUGGUACUCGAACCAUAACAUCACUCCUCAAUCCGCUCCUUAGAACCUUCAGAAUACUCCCUGUAUCAAGUAUGGGUCCUCUGCUUUCAGUAGUACGGGCCCAUACUACCUGUCACAUCUACCCAUACUUUCCACACGGACCAUCCCAGAGUUCCUAAGUAGCUGAUCAACCUGCUCUUUCACCAAUCCCAUCGCGCGUGCUCGCUCCCCAGCGAAAUUCUCUACUCUACCAGCGCACUCAUCUGGCUAGGGUUACUCCCUAGGCUCUUCCGUUGUCCUCCCACUUCUUUGCUAUCAGCUGCUGAAGAGCUCCUAAUGAUGCCAGCCAUCUACCUCCUGAAUAUCGUCAUAUUCACUUGGUAGCUGACUCCCAUCAUCGAGAGUUCCACAAAGCACAAAGCAAGCAACAUUCGAGCAUCGAAGAAUACAUAGAACUCACUCUCGGUGAUAACUCCACUUUCUCGGCUCAUCCUCGAAAGUACCACCGAACUCUGUAACUCUACCCCUCAUGGGUUCUAACUGGAUACUCUCACUCAUCACAUACUCAAAAGCAUAACACAUAUAACAACAAGUCCUAGGCUAAGGCAUCACAAAUCAGGCCACUCUAGUCCUAAGAUAUGAAAUACCUAGCCUAUCUCUAGCAUGCAAUAAUAUCUCAUAAAGUGCAUCAUAAAUAUCUCAUAACACAAAAGUAAGAGUAUUUUGGGAAAUCACCGUUCGGGCUCUGGCUGAUUGUACACACUGCUCUUUCUCGCUUUCUCUUUGAACUCUUAUUCACUUUUAGAAAUUCAUUUCUUUUGAAAACAUUUCUUACUUCCUCAGCUUGAGUCCAGAUUUACCCGAAGGCGCAUCCGAAUCCCUCAAACCAAGGCUCUGAUACCAACUUGUAACACCGAAAAUUUCAAACAAUUUUUCAUUUAAAAUAGUCGUUUAAUUCUUAGAAACACUUGCUUAAAAUAUCAUUCAUAAUCGAAUUACAAAACAUGACUCCAUUUUCACUUGUAUAGAAAACCAGGAUCCUCAAAACAUGGCACUUUCUCUGGUGUGUACAAUCAAGCCGGUGUCGUCCCGUGAUCCUGAAAUAAACCUGCAACACAUACAUAAAACAAAACAUUGUAAGCACGAAGCUUAGUGAGUUCCCCAAAAUACCAUACAUAACACAUAUUAGCCACUCGAGGCUAUAACUCUAUGGGUUCGUGGACCCUGCUCUGUGAACCCUCUGGUUCUAACUCUGUGAACCUUUAUGAGAUAUUAUUGCAUGCCCAUAGAAACCCAUAGAAACCCGUCAAUUCUUAGGUCCCGCCGGCUAUUAUCGCAGACCCACUUAGAAAUUUCCUUUAGAACCAUCAGACCCUUAACUACUCUACCACAUGAAGAUGUACCUUCUUGUUGGAACUUGUGUCUUGUUGAAGGCCUUAUCCCAGAAAAGCAAGAUAUACUUUGAGAAACGCGAAAUACUUCCCCCGUGAUGCAUCGAACCUUUCGAAAAUCCCCACCAGAACCGGAACCGUGAACUACAGACUUCGACUAUCUCAAGGACAUGGUAGUAUUAUCCAUCUUGUCUUUUCUGCCUCGAAACGUUAGAAGCGCCAGCCCAACGAAACCUUAGCAAUUCCUUUGAUGAGACCGAAAUCAACGGAAGACCAAACCUCCAUGGAAGAACCAAUUGAGAUCAUGGAUUGAGAGGUUAAACGUACGAAACAAAGCCGCAUCCCGGUAGUGAGGGUUCGCUGGAAUGUCAAGCGGAGACCCGAUUCCACUUAGGAGCAUGAAGACCCGAAGCAGUAGAUUCAUCCUCAUCUCUCUUUUCAUUUCAAGAUCUGUAUCUUAAUCUUUGAAUUUCGGGAUGAAAUUCCCUCUAACGGGUAACAACCCGAAGUUGUCCAUCGUCGAAACCCAUUUCGUCCGUAAAACACGUCUUUAGCGAUUCGUUUCAAUUUCGUUUUUGGGCUAAAUUAUCUAAAUUUAUAUGUUUAUUUUAAUCUCAUGAGUGUCCAAACCCCUUAGGAACUCUUGAAAUUGGCCCAAAUUAUUAAUUUGAAAAUUUUUAGAAUCGUUCCCGCUGGAUUACGACAACUUAAUCGGGUGCGAACAAAAGCCCCGUUUAACGUCGGUAUCGGGUAGAAAUCCUCCGUGUCCAAAUCUUAGACACUAUUUAAAGGAGAUUAAGCUUCCAUUUAAAGCUUUUACUCACUCUCGCUACUCUCUCUCUAACCUCUCUCCUCAAUCCAAGGAUCUAAGUCCAAAAACAUCAAUUUAAGGCUUCAAAUCAUUAAGUUAAUUUCCCUAACUCAUAGUAUAGCAUUAUUAGCCUUCAAAUCCGAGUUUAAGCUAUGAAAAAGGACUUCAUUCAUGAGUUUACGGCCUAGGAGCAUGCUUGGGCCGUAAACACAUAUACAAUGGGUUUUUGAGCCAUAAAACCCUUCCAAACCUCAUUUGGAGCUUAGAUAUGACUUAGGGAAUUACCAAAUUGGACUUAGAGCACCUUGAACAUCAUUUUUGAGGAGUAAACAUGAGUUUACUACCCAAGAACAUGCUUGGGCCGUAAACUCAUAUUCAUGGGGAGUAACCUCAUUUUAUGGUGUUAAGAUGCCACUUAAACACACCAAGAGCCUUGGAAUAAAUUCUAGAACCAACCACAAUCGAUUUGGGGACCUUAAACAUGAUGAAAACCCUCCAUUUGAGUGCUUACGGCCAUAACCCCCCAAGAAUGGGUUCCUGGGCCGUAAACUCAUAUACAUGGAUCAAAUGAUGCUCAAAAUUCACUCCUUGGCUUGUAAAAUUAAUUGGAAUCACAUGUGAUUGAAUUGGGACCACCAAAACAUUUUGUGAAUGGUACUCUAGAUUUUACGACCGUAAACACUUAGUUUACUGCCGUAAACUCCUCAAAAGUCCUUAAAAUUCCUCAAAUCAUUUUCUCCAUGCCCUAAACUCAAAUAUAGAAUUAAAUCCCCAAGUGAUUCAAAGCCAUUUAGCAACCAAAAGCACCCCACCAUGAUUUUGCGGCCGUAAACUCAUGGGGAAUGGGACUUUAGGGCCGAAAACUCUAGUAUGAGUUUACUCUUGAAGAGUAAACUCCAUAUCCAAGCCUUAUGUGUCCUCAAAUGCCACCCGGGUCCUUCCAAACACUUGUAAUGGAGUGUUUUCGCAUCUAGAAGUAUUUGUCCCUAACUAAUAAAUAAUUUAAGAUCUAAUUAGAUACAAGUGUGUAUCUUUUCAUAAUACAUAGGAAUCUUGUGCGUUUGCAAACCCAGAACUGAAGUUUAGGAUCCAAAUUGACGCGUACCUCAACCGGUGAGUUCAUACCCCUACCCUUUUUCAAUGGUUUUUUAAUGUUUUCAGGGGGGAAUACAAGCAAAAGUACAAGAAUAUAUUGCACUUAAAUUCAUUAUUUCAUUUAAAUGGUUUCAUAAUUCUUACACUUUUAAGAAUUAAAAACAUAUUAACAAACUGUUUUGACUUGCAGAGUUGUUGUUCAAACCGAUUUCAAUUCUUAUUAUUCAUACCCCUACCCUUUUUCAAUGGUUUUUUAAUGUUUUCAGGGGGGAAUACAAGCAAAAGUACAAGAAUAUAUUGCACUUAAAUUCAUUAUUUCAUUUAAAUGGUUUCAUAAUUCUUACACUUUUAAGAAUUAAAAACAUAUUAACAAACUGUUUUGACUUGCAGAGUUGUUGUUCAAACCGAUUUCAAUUCUUAUUAUAUAGUGUUAUACUUUAUACCUCACAAUUGAUUGUUCACACUUUUAUAGUUGAAAUCAUAGAUCUUUAGUAUUGUCCUUAAUAAAACACCCCCUAGAUUCGAGUGUGAAGCACAGGUAUCAUUAGAAGUUUAGUCAGGUCCUUGAUAGUACUCCUCCUAGAUACGAGAGUAAAGGACUAAUAAAAAUAGGGUUUCCAUAUUAAUAAUUUCAGUUUUAAAUUCAUUAAUCUUAAGAUUGGAGACACGUCCUUUGUAACACUUCCCCUAGAUACGAGAGUGGAGGACUAGCCCUAUAACCCGAAUCUCCGGAAAGGGAGAGCGUGACUUGAGUGUAUAGAUCUAUACGGGACUGACUAUCUCGCACCUGGCUUUUAGCUACAGUCGAACCGAAAGGUUCAAGGGUGACGAAAGUCAUAAAAAGAUACUGGCCCCGAUCCGAGUCAUUUCUAUUCUGAAGUAUGGUUAAGGACUCGCAAUCAAGAUUAUAAAUACUUUACACUUAAUUAUUAGUUUUAUAUAUGUGUUAAAACCAAUAUACAUUUAAGGGUAAUCAGACUUUCAGGAGACUCCACACACACACUUUAAGCAUGGUAGACAUUUGCACAUUACUUUCAGAUUUGGUAACACUUCGCAAACAUUCAGGAAAAAUGUGGGAUUUUUCUGGGGAUAAUAUUUGUACUUAACCAUAAACGUGUAACAAUUCAGAUAACUAAACUUUACAAUUCAUAAGGGUAAACAUGUUUUUCAGUGUACAUCUUUUACAUUACAUUUUGGAUUCAAUAACCAACUUUUAAGAAAAUAUGGGAUUUUCUUGGGUGUAACUUCCUUAGAAACAUAAAGGAACUCGUACAUUUUCAAAAAACAAACCGCUUAUGAACUCACCAGCUUUAUGCUGAUUUUCAAACUGCUUGUAUUCUCAGGUCCAUAUUAGACAGGUACCCGAUGAUUCCUUUUGGCGAAGUUGGAGUGCGUAGAAGACUCGUCUCACUUUUGUUCAUAUAUACUAUGCAUCACACUUGUACAACUUUACUUUUGAAGCAAAUGUAAACUUUUAUAUAUGUAAUGUAAUGGUUGUUUAGUUUACUUACUAUGUGCAUUGGAUUUGAUACUCAACGUGGAGUCAACCCCGUAAAUGUUUCCGCCUUCGGUUUUCGGGGUAUGACAGAAGGAUUGGGAAUUCUUGAAUUUUCAUGUGUUGUGAAGACUUAGUUGAAUCUGAGUGGGGGAGAAUCGUCCCAGAAUACAGAAGCAGGAUCGGUUUGGAAACUGGGAUAAGUUUCGCGUCGUUUCCAGGAAAGAAGACAACCCUAGUGGCUGCUUGGUUUGAGUGUUGUGGGAGUUGGGAGUUCAGUAAAACUCCCCAGCAUGUGAAUCGUGUCUUCUCAGUGUUUGAUAAUAGAACUUGGGGAAAUCAGGUUGGGAUUUUAGC